CCUGCAGUCUGAGCAACAGCAAGCAGAAGAAGGAAAUACUGAGCACACCAGAAGGCCCAUGAGCUGAGGUCUGAGCAGCUUCCCACUUUGGGGAGCACAGAGGGAAGGCAUGAUUCAGCUGCUCUCAUCUCACAUGUUGCAAAGUUCAUACUAUUCCACAAGGAUGUCACAGAGGAAAGCCAUUUUAGAAAUGACCUUCCUGCUGUAUGGGAUUUCAGCACUGCCUGCUAUAUGGGAUUUCAGCACCUACACACUGACUUGCAGUCAAGCUACCAUGUCUUCUAAAACUGUAAAAGGGUGGUAUAAUGUACUAUAUUUACAAACAAACAAACAAACAGACAAAACAACAAAAAAUAAGAAAAGGAAAAAAGAGCAGAGUUUACAGCAAUCAGGAGAAUAAAUUCAGAAGUCUAUGAAUUCUUCAAGGGAAAGAGAUUGGAAAAUGUUCUGUGAGAGCCUCCUGAGGACUGGACUGGAAUUGGCCUUCUUGUACUUUAGCUCAGAGAUCAAACACUUUUACAGAGAAGAAAAAGUGUGCUUUUGGUUUUCUCUUUUUCCUAAUGUACCAACUUAAAGGUGUCAUCCCUUGGGAAAAACUCUAGACUGAAGGGUGAAGAUUUUCUGUUUCCUUUUGAUGUUUUCAGAAUAAUCUCGUGGAAAAAUUAAUUUAGGGACAG